GGGUAUAGUUUAACGGUAGAGUAGCGGUCUCCAAAACCGUUGGUCCGGGUUCGAAUCCUGGUACC
rnacentral:tRNA from 1 species